rnacentral:rRNA from 1 species
UAGAGUUUGAUCCUGGCUCAGGAUGAACGCUGGCGGCGUGCCUAACACAUGCAAGUCGAGCGAGAACCGUCUGAAUGACACUUCGGUAGAAUGAAGGCGGGGAAAGCGGCGGACGGGUGAGUAACGCGUAGGUAACCUGCCCCUUACUCAGGGAUAGCCUAGGGAAACCUGGAUUAAUACCUGAUGAAGCAAAGGUACAGAAGUAUUUUUGCCAAAGAUUGAUCGGUGAGGGAUGGACCUGCGUCUGAUUAGUGAGUUGGUGAGGUAAUGGCUCACCAAAGCGACGAUCAGUAGCCGACCUGAGAGGGUGAUCGGCCACAUUGGAACUGAGACACGGUCCAAACUCCUGCGGGAGGCAGCAGUGGGGGAUAUUGCACAAUGGGCGGAAGCCUGAUGCAGCAACGCCGCGUGAGCGAAGAAGGUCUUCGGAUCGUAAAGCUCUGUCCUGGGGGAAGAAACAAAUGACGGUACCCCGGGAGGAAGCCCCGGCUAACUACGUGCCAGCAGCCGCGGUAAUACGUAGGGGGCGAGCGUUAUCCGGAAUUAUUGGGCGUAAAGAGUACGUAGGUGGUUUGGAAAGCGUGUGGUGAAAUUGCGGGGCUUAACCCCGUCCAGCCAUGCGAACUUUCAGACUUGAGUGCAGGAGAGGGAAGUGGAAUUCCUAGUGUAGCGGUGAAAUGCGUAGAUAUUAGGAGGAACAUCAGUGGCGAAGGCGACUUCCUGGACUGUAACUGACACUGAGGUACGAAAGCGUGGGUAGCAAACAGGAUUAGAUACCCUGGUAGUCCACGCCGUAAACGAUGAGCACUAGGUGUCGGGGUCGCAAGACUUCGGUGCCGCAGUUAACGCAUUAAGUGCUCCGCCUGGGGAGUACGUGCGCAAGCAUGAAACUCAAAGGAAUUGACGGGGGCCCGCACAAGCGGAGGAACAUGUGGUUUAAUUCGAUGAUACGCGAGGAACCUUACCCGGGCUCGAACGGUGCAUGAAUAUACGAGAGAUUGUAUAGUCCUUCGGGACAUGUAUCGAGGUGCUGCAUGGUUGUCGUCAGCUCGUGCCGUGAGGUGUCGGCUUAAGUGCCAUAACGAGCGCAACCCUUGUCAUUAGUUGCCAUCAGGUCAAGCUGGGGACUUUAAUGAGACUGCCACCGUAAGGUGUGAGGAAGGGGGGGAUGACGUCAAAUCAGCACGGCCCUUAUGUCCGGGGCGACACACGUGUUACAAUGGGAGGUACAGAGGGCAGCUAUCCGGUGACGGAAUGCUAAUCUCCAAAACCUUUCUCAGUUCGGAUUGGAGUCUGCAACUCGACUCCAUGAAGGUGGAUUCGCUAGUAAUCGCGCAUCAGCCAUGGCGCGGUGAAUACGUUCCCGGGCCUUGUACACACCGCCCGUCA